GCUGCUGCCUGCUGGGCUCUGACUCCCCAGGCUCCCAGCUUGGGCCCAAGUACCCACAAAAGCUGAGGCGGUGAAGAAAACUCCCUGCUGGCCCCCUCUUGCCUUGUUCUGGCGCUGCCAGGCACAGCUAUGGGAGCUGGCACAGCAAUUUAAUAGCCACCAGCCGAAAGCUGGGGCAGGGAACACCUUCAGCUGGCAGUGCUGGGUGCCUGGGUAGCUCUCCUGCAUGGUUUUUUCCCCAAGGCAUUUUGCACCAGUUCAAGAGCUGCAGGUAGAGAGCCAAACCCCAGAGCCUGGCAAAGGUGCCAGCUGCUCUGCAGUCAGGACAGACCUAGCCACUGACUCCAGGCUGACCAUGUUCCGGCCUUAAAUAGCUGCUUGUCGAGGACAGGUGGGUCACAGCAAACUUUAGUUUUCUGGAAACAGCAAGCACAUUGUGCAGGGAAAGCUUUCCAAGGAUGCUCCCCACGCCCUUUUCAGGAAAUACCACGCAGCUCUCCCUCGUGCCAGGCCAAGUUUUUUCCAUUUAAUUGGCAUAAAUGACAGCCUGGGCAAGGCCACACUGUGUUUUCCCUGGGCUGCUUAUUUUGAAAUCGCUGCUGAUUUGAUCUUUGCAUCUCUCCACCCCCAGGCUGGUCUUGCUCCCUUCGUGUUCCUGUUGCCAGAGCUUGCUCCAGUGCAAGGGGUUUGCUGGGGAGUGACAGUGCAGUGCAGGGUUCUCCAGUGACUGGUGGGGACAAGCUUUUGAUCAAGGCCUGUUGUGACAGGACAAGGGGAGAUGGUUUUAAUCAAAAAGAGGAGAGAUUCAGAUUAGGCAGAAGGAAGGCAUUUUUGGCGCUGAAGGUGGUGAGACACUGGCCCAGGUUGCCCAUCUCUGGAACUGUUCCAGGUCGGGUUGUUUGGGGCUCUGAGCAACCUGCUCUGCUUGCAGAUGUCCCUGCUGACUGCAGAAGAGGGGUGGAUUAGAUGACCUUUAAAGGUCUCUUCCCACCUAAACCACUAUCUGAUUUUAUUCUAUGAUUUUAAUGAUCCUGUGUUGGUCACAGCCAGGUCCUUGGGACAUCACCUGACCCUGGGAUGAAGUAAUAGAGUUGCAUUUGGUUUGACAAAGCCAUCACACAGAGAGGAGACAAUGAUCAUCUCUGCCCAGCACCCCCCAGCCCUCACAGGAGUUGCUCCAGCCCUGGAGCUGCUCCCCUAGCAGUAAUGGCUGCCCUUCCUUCAUGGGGGCACCCAAAAUAUGCUCUCCCCACAUGGUGAUGACACAGUGCCUGCACAGUGCUGGUGUAACCUGCUCUUCCAAGACCUACUAGUCCAGGGUGGGGUUGGGUUGGCCUGGGUUUAUUACCAGUUCCUGCUUGGCUCUGGUGCUUUUCCCCAGUACAGUGCUCUUGGAUGAAGCAGGAUGGCAGUGGGGACUAGGGAAGGAAGAGGAAGGAUUUCUACCCUAUUCAUGGUUUCAAGUGGGAUGGGUGCCACCAAGCUGUACCCUUGGGGGAUCCCUCUUCAUGCCAGCACCUUCUCCUUAGAGAUAAUCCAUCUUGCACCCCAAAAAUUCCAAAACACAAGUGGGUGGGAGUCUGGAUAGCCCUGGUGCUGCCCCACUAGAUGCCUCACUAUACCCCCACCCCUCGCUUGGGCAUCUCCUUCCUUGCUCUGAUUUCCAAAAGGCUGCAAACCCCCAAAGCCAUUUGAGUUGGCUGGAAAAGCCUGGGUUUGUUCCCUUUUAAUUCAAGACUGAGCACAGAGGCAAUUCUUUUUUAACUUAUCGAUUUCACCACCACCACCCCCUGCCCCCCCCCUCUGUGAAUGUCUGUGCUGGGCCCAGCAGUCCCUGGAGUGUCCUUCUGCCGCUGAGCUUCAAUUGUCUCUAAACUUCCAGAUCCAUCUUUUGGAUAUUUUUACAGGCCCUUGUCCAUUGUGGGCCUUUCCUUUUUAGUUUUUAUUGCCAACAUUUUUACCAGGAUGACAUUUUGACUAGUCUGGGAAAUCUUGCCUGCUACUCCGGUUCCUGACAAUCAAGAUUUAAUCUUUCCAAAGAGGAGGAAUGUAUCAGAUGGGGGGAGGGGGAGUUAAAAAUAUUCAAAUUUCUCUAAAAUUGCAGAAAAGCAGAGCAGGAGGAGCCUGCAGGAAAUCUCCAACCUAACCUGGAGCAUCAGAGCGACUGCGCAAGCCCUGGCUGUCGCCGGACAGAUGUUGGUCUAAUUACGGUGCUGGGGAUGCUCUGCCCUCAUACCCUGAGUGUGUCAUUGCAGCCAGGUGGCCUCUCUAAUCUGCAGUUUAAUUCUCUUUCGCCACUGUCUUCAGUCUCUGACUGAUGCUGGAUGGUAGUGAACCAUUCGCACAUCCCUCCUUGGUCAUCCCCAUGACUCUCAUAGAAUCCCAGAAUGGCCAAGGCCAGAAGAGACCUCUAGAGGUCAUCCAGCCUGGGCCCCCUGCAGUCAGCAGGGACAUCCCCACUAGACCAGGGCACCCAGGGCCCCAUCGAGCCUCACCUUGAAUGUCUCCAGGGAAGGGGCCUCAACCACCUCCCCGGGCAACCUCUUCCACCUGGGUAGGAGCCCUUUUUUUCUCCAUAACUCUCCCCAUUUCUCACCAGUAAGUGUUAGGGAAUGGAGAUUUCUAGACCGUGUGGUUUAGGCAUUCUGAGAUGCUUUUCCCCAUGUAUGGGUUGGCACUGCCAAGGCUGAGCACCAGCAAAAUGCUGCUGCUUGUCCCUCACCUCCCUGACCCUCCUCCAUCACAUUUGGCUUCACCUCUUUGCUCUGAAAACAGCUUAAUCCAGAUUUAGGAAGGAAAGUAAAAAGCAGGGGCAUUUUUUUUUUUUGCUAUUGAACAUGAAUCUCCUGGGAAUUCACCCAAGGAAUUCUCAGCUGCAGAGCUGCUAAGCAGUGCCAGCAGUGGUGGCAUUGCCAGUGCCUGUGACACACCAGCCAUGGGAGUGCUACUUCGUGGCUGCUCUGAAUCUGAGUUUCUUCUGGCAAGCUUCAUGGGCAGCUCAUUCGUGUGCAGGAUUUUACCAAAACCAAACUGUCUGGUCGCUGGCAAGGGGUUAUUUUAACACCUAAAUGGACAAGCAGAGAACAAAAAGAGAUUGUUGGAGAGGUGUCAAAUGCAAAAGCACUGAUUCCUUUGCCAGAUUUCCAAGCCCCUGGAUGGCAACAGUGACAGUGGAGGAGAGCUCCAUGCUUUGCCAUCACCACCAUGUGUGCUGGGAGCAAGCUGGGCCCCUGCAGACCUUCUCUGGCAGUGAGGUGGAUGGAGAUGGGGAUUGGAUUUGUUUCAUCUCUUCUCACCUUUCCUCUGUCUCUGUUUCUCUCAACGUGUGUUGCACACCCAGCACCCUCCAGCCCUGAUCAUCCAUCUCACACACCUUAGCCAGCAGGAAACUCAAAGAAAAACCCAUAAAGGAGAUGGGAAAUGAGGAUUGGAUUCGCAGUGUGCUUGUGCUAAUGGAAACCAUCCUUCACUGCUUAAUCAGAAGGAAUGGCCACGCACAAACCCAUUGCUUCUGCCCGGGCAGCACACGGGGUGGCCUUGCCAGGAUGCCUGGCAUGGUGAGCUCUGAUGUGGGCACUGGGCUCCAGCAUCCCGGCAUGACAUGACUGAUGCCUGCAGUGAUUACCAUGAGGAACAGCUUAUGGUGGGUGCAGAGCCACUUAACUCCCCUUUGCCUUUGCCUGUGGCAGCAAAUUGUCCCAUCCUUGAUGCCAGCUAUCUGUUGGCACACAGAAACCUUCCAGAUCCUCAUUUUGCUGAUAUUUCUAAUUGUGUGGGUCCAGGCUGCUGCUGCUACCUCUGGGGCUCGUCUCUGUCUAGCCCUCUCCGUGAAUUUGCUGUCUGCAAUGGGCCGGACCCAGCCCAGCGCAGGAGCUGCUGGUGGAUUUUGGCCCUGUCCGAUGCUCCCCAUAAAUUUCCCCUGGUUUAAUCUUGCUGCUGAGCUGGGUGGACUUUCCUAUUAACUCGAAGUGUCACCACGAACUGAUGGGCGAUGAGACCAUGAUUUCUGCCCUCCGCCGUUGGCGAUGGAAUGCAGGAUGUGCUUGAUGCCCCCUCCUCCGAUACAAUGCUCCCUCUCCCCUGCUGGCAUCUCUUUUUGAAUGCAUCCUUGCCCGGAGGCUGCAUUUAGGUGGAUUUUGCAAAGCUGUUCGGAGCUUGAGAAGGUGUUUGCAGUUUGGGGGCAGCUGCCAGGGCAUUUUGUAAAGUGCUUUGAUUGCCAGCAGGGGCUUGUGCCCCACAUGCCUCCCAAAUCUGUUGUGAACCUGGAAAA